UAUCAUGCCAGUUACCACAACAGGAGCAGCAUCUUGUCAUGCUACCAGAAGUAACAGCUGAGGUGUUAUGCUUUUGUUAUGCUCUUAUGGAUGAUAAUUAACCACUGAGGGAAAGGAAACCACUUCAGUAGAGCACAAUCCCCCUGUACGACUGGUUGAGCAAGUUGCCAUGACUUGACAAAGAGAAUCUUCGGUGAGGAGCUAAGCUUUUAUCCUCCUGCAUCCGCAUCCUCACAUCAGCACUCGCACACUUCCUCACCACACCGAGCUGGGCAGCAUGAGGCCUGGAAGAGGAACAAAGGAAAAUAGGGUCCUGGCUCUUCAGGGGGGCACGUUUCCAUAUCAGGUCUGGAGAGCAUGGCCUGAAGACCCUGUUAGAUUACUUUAGCUAUUAGGUAAGGAUUGGAGAAGCAGAGCAGACUGGCAGGUUGUAGACUCGACUGGAUUACACCAGUAGCUAGCACUUUGUGCCACAUGGAAGAGCUGGGGUUUGGGCGCAGCUGCCCACUAACCUUGCAUGCUCAUAAGGUGUUCUGCAUCAUGCCCUGCAGCCAGCCCGCACCUGGCCCAUUUGCAUAAUUUGCAGUAUUGCAGUAGAAAGAAGAUUAUGAAAACAAUGACUGAGGCAACACUCAGCUUCAAGUGGAUGUGCUGCUGCAGUACCCGGACAUAACAGGCCGCUGACAGAACUAGCUCUAGUGGCAAAUCUCUGAAGUUGUGUGCUUCAGGACCUUCUGGCUGUGUCCCUGCCCAGGGCACAAGGCGCUCCAUCCGCCAGCGCCGCAGGACCACGAGGCUGGGUCAGGCUGCGACAGCAGGCAAGGAGGAAGGCGACGGCUGCUGGACGCGGGGAGAAGAAGAGAGGGCUCACAGCUCGCACAGCAACAUAUGCUAUGUGGGCCACAGCAGAGCAGAGCAUGCGUCACGCUGACUUCAGGCUAUUUUAGGCAGCGAUGGGUAAACUAAAUGACUUAGAUGAGCAACCGAGCACCCUCCUUUCACUCUGCGCUCCAGAUGAUGAGUCUGAAGGUACUGCAGUAGGUACGCGUGCUCCCCUCUGCCCUGUGAUCUUCCCUCCCUGCAGAUGUGGAACAAGGAUGAGAUGGAAGCAACUUUUCCCAGGAUUGAACAGCAAAUCUUUGGCAAAAUGAAAACCGUAUCAAUGCCUCAGGCCUCCAUGUUUUCAUUUACCCUCUCCAUGUAAUCCCUGAAAAUCUUCUGCCUGGAAGAUCUGACCUGGCAAAACCCGGCUCUCCCACAAGAGAUGCCAGUUACUGCCUACACUGGCUCACCACAUGAACGCCAGGGAGCAUAUCUUAGUUAUCUCACGUACCUUUUACAAACACCUUGAAUGUGGCCCUAUUUAGACACAGAUGCCCUUCCACUGGGGUCCACAUCCUUAUGCUACCCGUAUGCUGCUCUCUCAAUGAGCACUCAGGUCACUGUCCGACCAAGGGACAUCUCGGACACUCGUCUCCCACCAAGUGAACUACAGACACUCUUGAAGUUAUCUCGAAUGGAAGCCUAUCUUCAUGGCAAAACAGGAAAAGAGAAAACAUACAGUAAAAAUUAUUUAAAACUGCACUUAAAGAACAUGUUGUUGCAGGGACAGUCCCCCAAUAAACUUGCAAUCUGUUAAACAAAUUUUCACACAAAAACAAAACAUGGUUAGCCAAAGAUAGUUUAGUCUACAAACGACGGCACGAUGGCACUUCGCUGCUCUGUGUUGGCUUACACUGCUCACAGCUUCAAGAACAAAUACAAACAGCCCACUGAAAACAGAUAGCUCCAUGAGACCAUUCUCUUUCUUGUGAGGUUAACAUGCAUUUCACUCGGUUUUGUUCCUCCAUGGGGUAUGGGCUAUACAUUGAUUCAAUUUUACAUCUCUUCCUGCAGUAGAACCCAAAUUGUUAACUCUCAUCUGUAGGUUAAACCACCCCUAAUUUCCUUCCGUCUAUUAUUUCAUAUUCUCCUUCCUCUCUUCCUGUUUCUGUGUUAAGGAUAUUGCCAUGUACUUAUGACAAAAUUUUCCUCCUUUCUCCUACCAACAAAUUGCUUUAGAAGAUUCUUAACCGGUCUUAUUAGACACACGGAGUUUUUUUAAUGCCAUGCAGAUGGAAAUACACUAUCUGAAAGCUUGACCAGCUCCAAAAGAGAAGUGGAUCAAUACUUACUGAACACUCUAUACUAAAACCACUCAUAGUAUUAAUACAGCUAAUGAUAGGAAUAAUCUACAGAGACUUAUCAAGUGAUUGUAAAGUUCAGAACCAAUAGUGAUUCCCUGUUCAGAUCUGUUCAGAAGUGCCAAAGAUAUCUAGAAAGAUUAUUUCCCAAGAGGUUUCACUAACAAACCACCACCAACAAAAAGGAUUAGUAUAGCUGAUCUAAUAUUUCAACCACAGCUCCUGACAACAGCUCCCUCAAGGUUAGCCUUAGAACUGUAUCACAGCCUAAUUUACUCUUGUUUUACAUCAGUCUGAAACCAUGUCUAUAUUUUAUUGAACCCUGAUUUUGUUACUGGUUUUACAUAUUAGCCAGAUUCAAUUUUUUAAGAUGGCUUCAUGGCUUGAAAUGCACCAUCAUCUACUGCUGGGUAGUUUUUAGUUCAGCAGGAAAUGGAAUUAGGAAAGAUCUACUGACUUAAUUGAAGACGCCACUAAAAGCAUUUGUCAGCUGCGAAUAUUCUGCCCUCGUGCUUUCUGCAGUGGUCCUGGGGGAGCGUGCUGAGCAAACAGCCACCCUCUGAACACAAAGCAAUUCCACUGCAAUGAAAUCUGUGAUGCAGACCUGGUCCACGCAUGUAUAUCCAAGCAGGGGGUGCAUUUACUGCAGUCAAUAUGACUUUGGGAUGUGCAAUGAUUUGAUUAUGAUAAUUGUGCUGUGUUGUGCCUCUUCUCUAGCUCCAAAGGAAACCCAAACUCUGAAAGAAAAACAAAAUUCAAACCACAAAAGCCUUUACGUUCUCUGCUGCUGUAAUGUAUAUUUGAAUCCCAAAAGUGACUAGAAGAGAAAAUUAUUAUGAAAACUCAUCUAAAGAUAUGCAAAUGAGUAUUUCCUAUGCUCGCUAUUCUAAUUUACCAGGUAGCUACUGUCUCCAUUUUAUUUCAAUAAAAGGGGAAUGGUGAGCCCAAGUGAAUGUCCUAAAUCUAGAAAUACUAACACAUGAGUGUCAGUGAAAUAAGUCUGCUUGGAAAUUGCUCCGAAAAAAGGCAGAAAUAAAAAAAAAAAGGUACAUUUGAGUUCUGCUACCAUGUUUUCUCCCUGUGGCUUAAGACAUCACUGUCAUGACUCACACCAAGGAUUGGGUUGCUCCCUGGGCGACACGACCUCCUCAUACCGGCUUUGUUCCUCAUCCCGGUACAGAUUGGUCAUCCGCUGACACCAAAUGAAGAAAUUUCCUUAUUAGUCAUAUCUGGAUCUAUAAAACUAAUACCAGAAAAUGAUGUUUAAACAAGCCCACUGCUGCUUCAGGUAUGCGGCCUUCCGACAUUUCAAAGCUGAAUAGUUUCAUUAGGUGUGGGAGGAAGGGCAGAAAGAGAAAACAAAAGUUAGAUGCAAAACUGCUUUGGGGCUCUAGGUAAAAUCUGUGCAGCAGCACUGCUCGCAGGCAGUUUGGAUCCAUAUUUAGCUUUCCAUGUUUAUUUGCUUGACUGGCAAAUCCCAAGGAGAUUCUGAGGCCGGUGUUUUAAAAACAAAAAACAUAAAAACACACUGAGCCUUAAAAUCCAGAUGGCUCAGUCAGCUCUCAGCUGCACUUUAGCUGAUUAGCUGUCCAUCCUUAGGCUGUAAAUCACUGCGUCUUCCCAUGACGCAAUUAAAAACUACACACCAGAUCACCCCGCCAAACACAGGCGCAGGUGUCAGCCUACACAUGCUCUUGCCAGCACCUGUCCUGUAAAACCUCAAUACAUUUCUGACCUGGUGCAAACUCAAAAACUCUGAGAAAAGCAGGCUGCAUCGGAAUAAUAAGUGUGAUUUUAUACCAAGUUGCUUAAUGUAAAAGAUACAGCAAUAGUAUCAAACCAGAAGUCAUUACAAAUUACAUUUACAAGAGACUUACUCCAUUAGCACGGCAGGCUAAGGCGGUAGCAGAGAUGCAGGGAACUUUGCAGAAAUAAACUUAGAUUUUCGCCAGUGGCAAUAUGUUUGGAUCUGAGACAGCACUUUGCCCACUGCUGAAUACAAUCAUCUCCUCUGUCAAUCCAAAAAUUAUUUCCCUUGGAAGAAAUCCCAAGAAUAUAACACGAAAUGUUAUUACAUGGAUAAUGCCCAUUAUAAUGGUCACUGACAAUAAUUGUCUUCACCUUGUUCCCACUGACGUUGGUUGCUUUUCAUUUUAAGCUCCCUCCCCUGGUAACAGCACCGAGUCCAGUGCCACCCAGCAGCACAUUUUACCCUCUCAGAAACUCAUGCCAGUACGCUUGACCAAGAAGAGGCCAAACGUCCCCAUGUCAGGGGAGCUGAUCUGAACCCGUUACCUACCCCCUAAGGCAAUAAAGUACGAAGCCAAGCUGCAAAUCCUCCGACGGCCCUGAAGCUUUGGAAAGACUUUGGAUCUAUAACUACACCAAGGAACUGAAGUUUUUUCUCAAAGGAAGCCUAGCACAGGGAAUCGAAACCUUCAAGAAAAAAAAAAUGCAAUGUAUGAAACCAUGUAACAUACCUACUAUACCCAUUUUUUCCUUUGUAACUAAAGGAUGUUGACAUACUAAGUCAAAUAAAAUUGCUAAAAACCUUGAAAUAAUUCUUUUUUUUUCUUUUUUUUUUCUUUUUUUUAAAGCAACCAAGAAAAAAGCUCCCAUAGGUUUUUAGUCAAUACAGGGUGAAUAGCAAUUAUCCCAGAGCCCAGACAUGGCGUUGAUGCCUUUGUGAAAACAAGAAUCCUUUAGUUAGGCUUCCAGAUCUCCUACAUCUUUGUAUACUCCUGGUAACAAGUCAUCUUGGUUUCCCCAUCAUAUUAAGAUGGAUAUCAAAGUAGUUUUACAUAAAAUUUAUCAUUUAGAGAAAUAUCAGCCAGUAGCAACCACAUCCUCUUCUCCUUCAAGUGACUUACAAAUAGGAACAUCAAUAAAGAGAGGUCUCAGUGCCCAUCUGAUAUAUCCUCGUUUUAUUAUUAGCCUCUAAAUAGUGACAUUUGCUUGACAGGGAUCCGAACAGACUUCAUCUGUAGACAGCUGCAAUGACGUGCGGGACGAUUACGGCAAGAGAAAUUUCAGUUUCAUUUUCAGAGGAAACAUCUGUAGGACUUUCAGUUUCCCUAAGCACUGUGCCAGGUGUAAGACGUGAGACAACAGUGAUUACCAAGCACAGGAUGCUAAGCCACACGAAAGCAGUCUCGCUGCUCAAGUUGUGACUAACAUGAUGUAGAAGGGAACAUUUCACAAGUUCGUUCACGCAGCAGGAUGGGUGGCUGCCAUAUCUCACCGCUAUGCGCACGCUCCAGAAAUUCUCUCACUUCAUGAGAAUGUGUCUCAAAGUCUGGCAGGAAAAUGAAGGAUGGGAGACUUCGGAAGAGGGAUGUGCAUAUUUUGGAUUUUAUGCAGGCUGUGCAUGUUGUUUAUGUUGGUGGAGAAGGCGCACGGCUGCAUGUGAAGUCUGCAGCUACUAUAGCAUAGCGAAUGUUUCCCAGGGUUCACGUACAGAGUAAACAGCAAAAAUAACCUUACCACACUCCGUUGCUAGAAAUGUUAACUGUGGGCAACUUCUAGGUUCACAGGCUAGAAGCAAAACAUGUCCUGGCAAAGUAGACUUGAAGAGUCCCUAAUUCUGUUCUGACGCUAGACGUUCCCAAUCUGCUGCAAUGUCAGCAGAACUCACCAGAAUAACUUAAAACACUUCCACCUUUUCUGUUCAGAUGAAGUCUUUGCCAAGGACCCCUCAAAUUCUGUUUUAAAAAGAGAAUUCUUCAUUUCCUUACUGGCUUUCCCUUGAUACUCAUUGGUACUGUGUCUCAGCAUUUUUUAAAUACUAAUUUCCAUAACACAAGGCAGCCUUAUUAGCCCCUAUUCUACAGGAGGGCACAGCAGCAGAGAUACCAAGAACCAAAGGUGUCUGAGGGACUAAUUAAAGUUCCGAUCUCAUUAACUUCAGAAGAGGCAGCACAUAAACACUACUCUCGUUAUAAAUAAAUUAUCCUGUCUCAAAUUGCUUGUUUCUAUUUUUGACCACCCCCAAACAACUACCCACGUGGCUUACCCAACACUGAUCGGGAGUGGGAGCUGUUGCGGGUCAAGAUGCUAGGAUUUUUCAGAACCUAGGAAUGUAUGACACAGUUCCCAAAAGCAAGCUUGCCAUGCCCCAGUGGCAGCAAAAUUACCUCUGGCUGAAUCAGAGCCGCUUUGGUCAGUUUUCAGCGCCAAGACCCAUGGUGCAAUUUGUUUACAAAUUGCAAAAAACUCUGAGUUUACACUCAGCUUUCUACUUGCCGUACAUUGCUGCUUGCUCAUUCAUGCAAGACACUCCUACAGGGGUAACUAAAUCCAGAUCUUUACAGCAGCACUCGGUUGCCCUCUUGCAAAGCUCACUUUCCCUUCUUUCAGCUUACUUUCCUUUAGAAUUCAGGGAAAUGAGAUGCAGGACCUG